UGUACACGCUGUGACUAGCAUAUCAAUAAGCGGAGGAAAAGAAACUAACUAGGAUUCCCUCAGUAACGGCGAGUGAAGCGGGAAGAGCUCAAAUUUGAAAUCUUCAAGGUUCUACCUUGACGAAUUGUAGUUUAAAGAAGUGUUUUCUGUUGGAGUUUUGGUAAAAGUUCUUUGGAAUAGGACAUCACUAGAGGGUGAGAAUCCCGUAUUUGACCAUUAUUUCCAGCUUUGUGAUACACUUUCAAAGAGUCGGAUUGUUUGGGAAUGCAGUCCAAAAUGGGUGGUAAAUUUCAUCUAAAGCUAAAUAUUGGCGAGAGACCGAUAGCGAACAAGUACCGUGAGGGAAAGAUGAAAAGAACUUUGAAAAGAGAGUUAAACAGUACGUGAAAUUGUCAAAAGGGAAGCGUUUGACACCAGUGUUGUUUUCUCGAAAAUCAAUUAAAAAAGGCAGGAUUUUGUGUUGUAUUGACUUUAUCAGCUUUCUGCACUCUUUUCUUGUCUUUUUUAAUGCACUUUUCGUUUAACAAGUCAACAUCAAUUUCUUUUGUUGUAAAAGGGUCAUUGGAAGGUGGCUUUCUUUUCGGAGAAAGUGUUUAUAGCCUUUGGCCUCUGCAAUCGGAGAGAUUGAGGUCUGCAGCGUAGAUCCUUCGGGGUUAGAUACAUUUGUGCUAAGUUAUAGCCUUUCAUAGACAACUUGUUGACUAUGAUCAGUCAUGUAGCUUACUCGCUUAUGCUAUUUUACCUACGCUUAGGAUGUUGAAGACUCUACAGAGAUA
rnacentral:rRNA from 1 species